rnacentral:rRNA from 1 species
AUCGAACGCUGGCGGCAGGCCUAACACAUGCAAGUCGAACGGUAACAGGAAGCAGCUUGCUGCUUCGCUGACGAGUGGCGGACGGGUGAGUAAUGUCUGGGAAACUGCCUGAUGGAGGGGGAUAACUACUGGAAACGGUAGCUAAUACCGCAUAACGUCGCAAGACCAAAGAGGGGGACCUUAGGGCCUCUUGCCAUCGGAUGUGCCCAGAUGGGAUUAGCUAGUAGGUGGGGUAACGGCUCACCUAGGCGACGAUCCCUAGCUGGUCUGAGAGGAUGACCAGCCACACUGGAACUGAGACACGGUCCAGACUCCUACGGGAGGCAGCAGUGGGGAAUAUUGCACAAUGGGCGCAAGCCUGAUGCAGCCAUGCCGCGUGUAUGAAGAAGGCCUUCGGGUUGUAAAGUACUUUCAGCGGGGAGGAAGGGAGUAAAGUUAAUACCUUUGCUCAUUGACGUUACCCGCAGAAGAAGCGCCGGCUAACUCCGUG